rnacentral:tRNA from 1 species
GCAGGCGAGUGGAACGGAUUACCACGUCAGACCCAUAAUCUGAAAAUACUGGGUUCAACUCCUAGGCUCUGCA